AUCAUGGCUCAGAUUGAACGCUGGCGGCAGGCCUAACACAUGCAAGUCGAGCGGUAGCACAGAGAGCUUGCUCUCGGGUGACGAGCGGCGGACGGGUGAGUAAUGUCUGGGAAACUGCCUGAUGGAGGGGGAUAACUACUGGAAACGGUAGCUAAUACCGCAUAAUGUCGCAAGACCAAAGAGGGGGACCUUCGGGCCUCUUGCCAUCAGAUGUGCCCAGAUGGGAUUAGCUAGUAGGUGGGGUAACGGCUCACCUAGGCGACGAUCCCUAGCUGGUCUGAGAGGAUGACCAGCCACACUGGAACUGAGACACGGUCCAGACUCCUACGGGAGGCAGCAGUGGGGAAUAUUGCACAAUGGGCGCAAGCCUGAUGCAGCCAUGCCGCGUGUAUGAAGAAGGCCUUCGGGUUGUAAAGUACUUUCAGCGGGGAGGAAGGCGAUAAGGUUAAUAACCUUGUCGAUUGACGUUACCCGCAGAAGAAGCACCGGCUAACUCCGUGCCAGCAGCCGCGGUAAUACGGAGGGUGCAAGCGUUAAUCGGAAUUACUGGGCGUAAAGCGCACGCAGGCGGUCUGUCAAGUCGGAUGUGAAAUCCCCGGGCUCAACCUGGGAACUGCAUUCGAAACUGGCAGGCUAGAGUCUUGUAGAGGGGGGUAGAAUUCCAGGUGUAGCGGUGAAAUGCGUAGAGAUCUGGAGGAAUACCGGUGGCGAAGGCGGCCCCCUGGACAAAGACUGACGCUCAGGUGCGAAAGCGUGGGGAGCAAACAGGAUUAGAUACCCUGGUAGUCCACGCCGUAAACGAUGUCGACUUGGAGGUUGUGCCCUUGAGGCGUGGCUUCCGGAGCUAACGCGUUAAGUCGACCGCCUGGGGAGUACGGCCGCAAGGUUAAAACUCAAAUGAAUUGACGGGGGCCCGCACAAGCGGUGGAGCAUGUGGUUUAAUUCGAUGCAACGCGAAGAACCUUACCUACUCUUGACAUCCAGAGAACUUUCCAGAGAUGGAUUGGUGCCUUCGGGAACUCUGAGACAGGUGCUGCAUGGCUGUCGUCAGCUCGUGUUGUGAAAUGUUGGGUUAAGUCCCGCAACGAGCGCAACCCUUAUCCUUUGUUGCCAGCGGUCCGGCCGGGAACUCAAAGGAGACUGCCAGUGAUAAACUGGAGGAAGGUGGGGAUGACGUCAAGUCAUCAUGGCCCUUACGAGUAGGGCUACACACGUGCUACAAUGGCGCAUACAAAGAGAAGCGACCUCGCGAGAGCAAGCGGACCUCAUAAAGUGCGUCGUAGUCCGGAUUGGAGUCUGCAACUCGACUCCAUGAAGUCGGAAUCGCUAGUAAUCGUAGAUCAGAAUGCUACGGUGAAUACGUUCCCGGGCCUUGUACACACCGCCCGUCACACCAUGGGAGUGGGUUGCAAAAGAAGUAGGUAGCUUAACCUUCGGGAGGGCGCUUACCACUUUGUGAUUCAUGACUGGGGUGAAGUCGUAACAAGGUAACCGUA
rnacentral:rRNA from 1 species